rnacentral:lncRNA from 1 species
AAAAAUGAAAAGAAAAUAGUUAGCCUUUAACAAAAAAUUAAAAUAUGAGUAAUAUUAAAAAUUCUUCACCAUGAUUUUUGACAAGAACAAAGAAAAGAAACAAAAAUAAAUGUAAACAUACAAAGAGAAACUUAUUGAAGAAUUCGGACACUUGCACUUCAUAGAAUAUGAGAACAACGACUUGGAGUUCAAAGUCGACACUUGCAAUAUGAGAAAGCAGGG